rnacentral:rRNA from 1 species
UACGUAGGGGGCUAGCGUUGUCCGGAAUCAUUGGGCGUAAAGAGCGCGUAGGCGGCCAGGCAAGUCCGGUGUGAAAGUCACAGGCUCAACCUGUGAAUGCCGCUGGAAACUGUCUGGCUAGAGUCCGGAAGGGGCGAGUGGAAUUCCUGGUGUAGCGGUGAAAUGCGCAGAUAUCAGGAGGAACACCUAUGGCGAAGGCAGCUCGCUGGGACGGUACUGACGCUGAGGCGCGAAAGCGUGGGGAGCAAACAGG